UACAGAGGGGGCAAGCGUUGUUCGGAAUUACUGGGCGUAAAGGGCGCGUAGGUGGCCUUCUAAGUUGAACGUGAAAUCCCUGGGCUCAACCCAGGAACUGCGUCCAAGACUGGGAGGCUUGAAUCCGGGAGAGGGAUGUGGAAUUCCAGGUGUAGCGGUGAAAUGCGUAGAUAUCUGGAGGAACACCGGUGGCGAAGGCGGCAUCCUGGACCGGUAUUGACGCUGAGGCGCGAAAGCCAGGGGAGCAAACGGG
rnacentral:rRNA from 1 species